CCUGAAGUGUUUGCAGAUCAGAAGAUCAACAUGAAUCAGAGAUCACCCGCGAGAGGCCGUCAAUAUCAGCUCUUCAACCCAAGUGAGAUCCAUCCUAAUCCAAAACACGUAAUUCAGCAAAAUGUUGGAAGUGAUGAAAUCCCCCGUCAGAAGCUGUCGUGCUCUCAGCUCAUUCACUUUCUGAAAACAAGCAGCAAAUCAAAACUGCGUCUGAACUGCCGUCAUCAGCUGCUGAAGUCAAAUACAGGCCAAACCUAACUGAGGCUUCAUUUAGUCUGAUACAAAACAUCAGCACAACAGCUUCUGUGGAUCAGAGAGUCACGGCUUUGACCGGCGCCAAGAAGGAUGUGGAGAAUAAGAUCUUUUCUAAGAGCAAAGUUUCUGAACCCGUGUUUGCAGAGAAAGAAAGCAGUGCUGAGGUUUCCUACCACUGGAUGAUUGCCACAAGCACUGAACUGUGGGACAUUGGGGAUAUUUUCUCAGAUGCACAUCAGUCCUUGCUAGAGCCGUUCCCAAAUGAAGUGCCAGAUUUUAAUUUCCAAGCUGACUGUAAAGUUCCUGAUCUGUCCAGCCGAAGCGUGUGUCCCUCAGCAGAAGAGUCGUGGCGUCUGAAGGACGGUCAAAGCCCCGAUACCUGAAACUGCCAAGGCACACAGGGGAUAGGCCAUGUGGUUCAUCCAAACAAGUUCUUCAUUCAACACAAGGACACAGAUCUCUGUCAACUGUCUGAAAUCAUGCAGAGGAACAGCAGUAGGUCUUUAGCAGAGAUGAACCGCAUCCCAGACAUUGGAGCUUAUGUCAUGGUUUGGUUUCUCAAGCAAGAGAUGUGGUGCCGUGGCCAGAUCAUCAGAAUCCGUCGGAGUCGAGGGCCCAGCAGCAGAGAUUGCAAAGACACUAAGGUGGAGGUCAGGAGGAUUGACUAUGGAGAUGUUGUUUGGGUCUCUCUUUGGGAUCUUAAGGAACUGUGUGGAGAAACCGCAUCCAUACCUGUGCAAGCGCUGCAGGUCUCACUGGCGAAUGUGAGGCCAGUGAAUGGAGAAACAUGGUCUUUUGAAGCGAUCAACUGGUUCAAGAGUAAAGUGCAGAACAAGACUCUUUAUGCCAGGCUUUACCAAGAAGAAGGAGAAGUUUUGGUUGAACUCUUCAUGGAAAAGGGAAAGAUUGGUGCCAUGAGGAGAGGAGACUCUCUGUCUGUCAGACUUGCUCUGAAUAGAUUUGCCAUUCAUGAAUGUAACAAACCCAGGAGUCUGAAGAGAAGUGACGUCCCAGAACAAACCAGACAGCAGUCCUUACAGUGGGAGAAAUAUCUGAUCUCCUGUUACAGUCACAACAGGAAAUAAUGUUCACAGUAAUCAGCAAAAUACAGACCUUUGUUAUUCUUCAUUACUGUACAAUCUUAUGAAUACUUCACAAUAUCUACUAUAUGCAUUUCAUAGUCUCUGUUUGGUUUUUAUUUUAUUUUUAUUGUAUUAUAAUUAUUUUGGUUUAGUUCUUGAACAGUGCACAUCAGAUACAGGGAUGUUUUCUACUGGUCCAGCCGGGCCAGUGGUUUAAAUUUUUACUUGAGUUGCCAAUAUUUUCACUGGCCCUUUCACAAAAAAAUAAAAUAGUUGCUGUUAUCACUGUUUUUGACCCAUGUUAUCUUUUAUUCUAAUAAAUAAGCUUAUAUGACACCAAAAUUUUAAAAACCAAUUCAGUUGUACAAUUCUCUAUUCCAAUUUUGAUACCGCAGCAAAAACUAGAAGCCUAACAAAUAUAAAGUUCAAACAUUAUUAAAGACAAGUUAACAGUCC
rnacentral:lncRNA from 1 species